rnacentral:rRNA from 1 species
GCUAAGUUGGGGACUAAACUGCUUUUUAGUACUACUUGUCACCCCCAAACUGAUGGACAAACUGAAGUAGUCAAUAGAACGUUGUCUACUAUGCUUAGGGCUGUUUUGAAGAAUAAUAAGAAAAUGUGGGAGGAAUGCUUGCCUCAUAUUAAAUUUGCUUAUAAUCGUUCAUUGCAUUCUACUACUAAGAUGUGCCCUUUUGAAGUUGUGUAUGGUUUCCUACCUCGUGCACCUAUUGAUUUGUUGCCUCUUCCAUCUUCGGAGAAGGUUAAUUUUGAUGCUAAACAACGUGCUGAAUUGAUUUUAAAAAUGCAUGAGUUAACUAAGGAAAACAUUGAGCGUAUGAAUGCUAAAUAUAAACUU